AAUAUCUCACUUGCAUAAAAUGAGGCAAAUUAUUAUCAGGUUUCAUGAAAGAGAAGUUUAGCUAGGUAGAGAGGAAAAGAGGGACAUGUGUUAUCAUACUUAAGUCUGAGAAGAGACACCCCUACCCUUCCCACUGUCCGUGGAGAAGAUCCUCAGAGAAAUAAAGCAGCUUGGCCAAUGUGACAAGCAAACAAGGAAGAGAUGGUGUUCAACUUGAGUUUUCUGAUCCUGCUGCCUGACAUUUCAGCCAGGUGUCUGCUGCUUCCUACAUCCUCAUUAAUACCCGAAUGCCAGUUACCAGCACUUACAAGAAGGAAUAUUUUUAUUUACAUUGUCGGCUUGGCUCUCUGGAUCAGUUAAUUAUGUAAAACAGGAAAUGGCCACUUAUGAAAAAAACUGAAUAUGAGUUUAUUAUCUUCAAUAACCACAAAAAAUAGCUAUCUAUAUAAAUGAAAAACAGGGCCAUACGUUCAUUCAGGAAACCUGGCAUUAUCACUCUGAUUCCAUGUAUAAAGAGCAAUCAUGUUUAAUAUGUCUUACGAGGGGAAUCGUUAAAUGUGUUUUCAUGCUACUGCAACAGUUUAUAUUGGAUUUGAAAUGUGUGUCCUGAAUCUCAGAACUUGAAUCUGUAUUAGUAUCGUAUAAAAAGGAAUAAAGAAACAGUAAUUUAUAACAAAUAAGUGUCACUGUGAAUUGAAUAUGGUUCUAUUUCAUAAAAUGUUAUUGGGCUUUUUUAUUUAUGAGAAUUUAUUAGACUAUUGUGGUUUUGAAAUUGCAGUAGUGGAAUUUGUAUAUCCAAUUUUUAAAAGAAACUGUAUCAUCCUUUGGGUCCUAUUAUGCUGUCUCGGUUUCUAUUCAGUUAGGCAUAAUGUCUGAAAGUGUGAGUAACUUGGCUAUGAAAGCACUGGCCAGCACCAUCAAAUAUGAGGUAUUUUAUUCUCUGCCUAAUAAUCUUUCCCUGAAGGAUCUCUUCCAAAUAACUGAUGGUGGCUAGAAAAAUGAUAUCACUGAAUCGGAAUGUUUUCUCAUUCCAUCUCAGUCCUACAUCCAGUCUAGCAAGAAAUAGUUUUGCAUGACAGUACACAUGUAAAUGUCACCGCAUAUGUCAUUUAUGCCGUAUGGGGUUGUUAUGCAAGAUUCACAGUGAUCAUGUUAGAGGAGACUGUCUUCGAUACACUAAAUAAAACGUGCUGAGUAAAAAUUGCUAGCCAUUUUUUUUCUAGACCUGUAAUGACAUAGUAAGAGCACCAAACAAAACUCCCAGAAACAAACCAUUUCUCAAGCUGUAAUAUCAACAGGACAAGUGAUCUAAAUUGCUGAGACAAGGGGAGUUCAUCACUGCACUGAGAGAGAACUUGAAAUAUAACCUAAAGGCAAGUGAAAUACUGAUUCCCAGCUCUGAAAUAACAGCAACAACUUUACCUACAGACAGAAGAUGCAUGGACGCAAUAAACGAAUUAUACAAGCCUUACACAUGCAAUCUGAUUAUUCUGACCAAAGUGUUAAUUGGAUCCUAACUGCCAGAUCUGAUAUCUGUAGUCUUGUAGUGGGAAACCUUUCAAAGUGAUGAACUGUAAUUCACCGAGCUGCUUGAAGCACUUGUAAUUUACUGCAUGCCAUGCGAUGAAGAACCUAACCUAAUGGACUUUACAUUGCCUAUAAUGCUGGAAACCUUUCAACAAGACUAGUUGGUAAAAAGUAAUCAUGGAAGUCUAUUGAGACAGGAUGAGCAAGACUACAUCUUCACCAUGGCUUAAUAAUCUAGGGAAAGCUGAUAUUUAAACCAAAGAGGUGCAGCUAUGAUAAACGAGAGGAUUCUGUCCAACAUCAUCUACAAAUUAGGUGACCUCACAAUGUAAAGUGAAAGAGAAGUAUAAGAUGUAAAAAGGACCGAGAGUAGUUUUAUAAUCCGACCUAAAUGCUAUAGAGUAUAUCAGAGUUAAACUGUUUAUGGAUGAAAUUGCUUUAUUUCAUGAAAAUAUUGCUCAUGAUAAUUGGAUUUAUAUACACCUUGUUCUUAUUUAUAUCUUAAAAAUUUCAAGGGACACAGUUAGACUUAAGUAAAAUAAAGCAAUGCAAAAAGCAACUGUUUGUAAGAUUAAUUCCAGUUGAAAUUAUGAUUGUAAGAUAAGAGGUUUGUUUUGGUACCCUAUUUAAUGUUCACUAUCAACGUUAAAACAGUAUCAUCUUUUAAAUGUGGUUUUACAAUUUUGAGUGUCAGCAGUUAUAUAUAGCAUUUCUUUAACUCUCUUAGCUACAUUUCUAAGUAUUGUAAGGGAUCCACAAAUAGAUUUAAUAUGAUUACAUAUUUUGCAGAUGUUAGCUUAUUUUUAAUUAGUUUCUUAAAAUAUGAUAUCUGUUAGAGCCUUCAUUAGGUAUGUUUUUCCAACUCAUGAGGUGUCAUAUGUAUAGCACGAGGCACAAAAUAUAGUCUGGAACAUGACAGGGUUUUGUUUUACCAAGACACGUGUCACUAUAGUUUAUUAUAGUAGCCACUGAGUGUUGAGCAGACGUGAACAAAUCUUUGAUCUAUACAAAUUAGUCAAAUCAGUCACAAGUCGCAAUUGCAGUCACUGGUACAAUAGUCUCAGUAAAUCUACCUCAGUUGUCCCUUUCUUCAGUCCUUCCCCCAUUGAAGUUGGCCUCUGUCAGUUGGACAGCCUCAUCAGCAACCUCCAGUAAAGUGAGAACAUUCUAAUGGUCUGAAAUUCUUUGGGAAGUUGCUGGUGUUUUCUCAUCAGGAUCCAAUUUAGAGGGCUUUGUUCCAUUCUUGAACUUUGGAGGCAAAGAAAAGCAAGUCCAUUUGUCGCCUUUUUUGGGGUGAGCUCGGAAGCAAAAUCAGUAUAGCCAGCAGCAGGAGGGUCUGGGAGAGCACACAUUUUUUGUCAAGAAAUACUUCAAAAUAGUCAGUAUGUCCUUUUCCCUAUAGAAAAGUAUGCCCCCAUGGUAAGACCUAGAAAUAAUAUCGUUGAAGAUAUCAAUAUAGUUAUAUUUUAUAAAAUAAAAGAAAUGCCUUCAAGCAGGCUAAAUAUUUUAUUGCUCUGUGGUGGCCAGAGUGACUGAAAAGACUCACAAGCUUUGGAUACAGUAAAUGUUGGGAAGAGGCUCGUAUGCAUGUGGCUCAGUCGAUCUACCCUGAGCAGCUGGACUAUUUCAAAACUGCAGUUCACUGUAAAGCGCAAAAAGCUGGGAGACCGCAAUGGCAGCAGUACUGUUCACUUUAUGUGCAGAUGUUUAUGGUGAGACUGUUUCAUAAAUGCUUAUUACCGUUAGCCCUUCUAAGUGUAAUUUUC
rnacentral:lncRNA from 1 species